AACGAACGCUGGCGGCAGGCUUAACACAUGCAAGUCGAACGAGAUCUUCGGAUCUAGUGGCAGACGGGUGAGGAACACGUGGGAACAUCCCUUUCAGUUCGGAAUAACGUUGGGAAACUAACGCUAAUACCGGAUACGUCCUUCGGGAGAAAGAUUUAUCGCUGAAAGAUUGGCCCGCGUCUGAUUAGCUAGUUGGUGAGGUAACGGCACACCAAGGCUACGAUCAGUAGCUGAUCUGAGAGGAUGAUCAGCCACAUUGGGACUGUGACACGGCCCAAACUCCUACGGGAGGCAGCAGUGGGGAAUAUUGGACAAGGGGCGCAAGCCUGAUCCAGCCAUGCCGCGUGAGUGAUGACGGCCUUCGGGUUGUAAGCUCUUUUGUCCGGGAAGAUAAUGACUGUACCGGAAGAAUAAGCCCCGGCAAACUUCGUGCCAGCCGCCGCCGUAA
rnacentral:rRNA from 1 species